rfam:Tulasnella calospora MTT 4182 unplaced genomic scaffold scaffold_30, whole genome shotgun sequence.
GGCAAGAUGGCCGAGUGGUCUAAGGCGCUGGUUUUAGGAUUCUUACGAAUUCAAUCACCAGUCUUCGGGCGUGGGUUCAAAUCCCACUCUUGUCA